GCAUCCUGCCCCCGUGACCGUCUUCUCACCGUUCACCCGGCAGGCGGAAAGACGGAAGCCCCCGCGAGGACUCGACUCGCGGGGGCUUCCG
rnacentral:ncRNA from 1 species